UGGCUCCUGCAACCGAAAUUUAGAAGAGCGCGCAGACAUGGAGAAAAGAAGAAACAUCUCGCUGUAUGCUGAAGUCGAUGAAGACGAGACAGUAGAGGAUUUUGGAGCUUCAGCCAUGAAGUGCAAGCACAGUGUCUAAACACUUUUUGAGCCUGAUCAUAAUAUUAUAUUAAGAAAAUUUAAUUCCAAUCCAGUAAUAUACUGUAUAAGAUGUGAAUGCGUUCAAGUAAAGGAUUUAUUAAUUAA